rnacentral:rRNA from 1 species
GGUUUAAAAGACGGCUUCGGCUGUCACUUUAGGAUGGACCCGCGGCGUAUUAGCUUGUUGGUAAGGUAACGGCCUACCGAGGCGAUGAUACGUAGCCGACCUGAGAGGGUAAUCGGCCACAUUGGGACUGAGACACGGCCCAAACUCCUACGGGAGGCAGCAGUAGGGAAUCUUCCACAAUGGACGAAAGUCUGAUGGAGCAACGCCACGUGAGUGAUGAAGGGUUUCGGCUCGUAAAACUCUGUUGUUGGAGAAGAACAGGUGUCAGAGUAACUGUUGACAUCUUGACGGUAUCCAACCAGAAAGCCACGGCUAACUACGUGCCAGCAGCCGCGGUAAUACGUAGGUGGCAAGCGUUGUCCGGAUUUAUUGGGCGUAAAGCGAGCGCAGGCGGUUUUUUAGGUCUGAUGUGAAAGCCUUCGGCUUAACCGGAGAAGUGCAUCGGAAACCGGGAGACUUGAGUGCAGAAGAGGACAGUGGAACUCCAUGUGUAGCGGUGAAAUGCGUAGAUAUAUGGAAGAACACCAGUGGCGAAGGCGGCUGUCUGGUCUGUAACUGACGCUGAGGCUCGAAAGCAUGGGUAGCGAACAGGAUUAGAUACCCUGGU